rnacentral:rRNA from 1 species
UACGGUUCUCCCUCUAUUCGAUUCGUGUUCAUCGAUCGAUCGUCGACGAUCCUCCUCCUCUUUGUAGUUAGUUGUAUCGUAUUACCUACUGCUUCGGUACUCUCCGUCUCCCCUCCUACGUCUCUUCCCGCUCUCCCUCUCCUUCUGGCUCCCCCGAUCCUUCCACGGGAAGAAGUCGUACAAGUCCAUGCGGUCGGCACGGCUGUACCGAGACUACCGGCAGCCGUGGCACCGCCGGUACCAAUUACCGUACCCGCUGGGCGAGUACUGGCAGCAGAAGCGGCGCCAGUAGCUGACAAAACCACGGCCGCUGUUGCAGGAGGUCGCCCAGUCGUUCCAACAAUACAUGAUGUAGAUAAACCCUUAACCCUGCCGUGAUCGAAGUAAAGAGGUCCACAGUACGACCUGUUACUGACCUCUUUCCGUCAGUUAUGCGUAGGCUAGAGAUAUGGAGCUUCGACAAGAUUUUGUCCUACAAAGUAAGAAACUACACCUCUACUGUUGACCCCUUCGUUAAAGAUCUUACAGACGCCUGUGACAUUACCAGGUUCUACGGGAACCUCUCUUCCAUCCGUUCAUACGUGUCGAAAACUGUUGGAAACAACCUACAAAAUAGUAGCCUAAGCAUUCUCCGACCUACAAUCGAGAACAAUACGAGCGUACGUAUGGAGGUUUAUAAGACAGAAAACGUUAAUACAGAGCCAAUGCAAGAGUUUAUAGUCGGUCCUCCGUCCGUAGUAUACGGCUACGCCCGUUACAGCAGCUCGUCUGGUAACCUCGAUAUUCUUGCCAAUAGAGGAAGUUACCACUCUUCUUUCGUUAGCGUAACAUGUUGUGAGAGUGUUUUUCCCGUAUAUUCCGAUGUCAGAACCUUCCCUAACGGUGACCAGAUCCUUGUCCGCCAUAGAAAAGACAAAAGAAGACGCCAAUGAGAGAUCGGAAAACCAUACCACGAUUCAAUUAGUAGUUGCUUCCAAUAUGACCUCCCGUUCAGCAGUUAUAGCAUGAACGUUACAAUUGACCAAGUUACCGAUAUCCAUGGCGUAGCGGGAGUUAAAGACGAUAACGUCUUCCCGUUAGACGUCGUAUAUCCAACAAACUCUAUUACUUGUUUCUUGGUUUCUAACUGUAGUGGCUGUGAAGACCUUAUCAUAACCUGCUAUAGUCCCCGCUACAACUUGAGUUGUUACACAAGAAAUCUAUAGGACGUUCCGGACUCGUCAACUAUGAAUUACCCAACAGAGAUGUACAUGGAUCACCAUGAUGUUACCGAUAUCAACCUCUCUCACCUUCACCAUUUAGUUGUUAUUAAUCAGACCACCUCUCUAAGAUGCUGGGUGUUCGACCGUUACACGACUAUCUACCUUAGUUGUAGUUCUCAUACUUUGAGGUCACCUAUUCUCCUUACUAGUCAGAACAAUCGGUUCUUGGUAACGAAAAAUACUGGAGGUAGUUUCUAUUGUAUUGGAUACCAUUUCUCCUACGAUGCGAACUUCUCUAGUUCUCUCGUCGACUCGAACGUUUACGUUGUUUAAAGUAGCUUUUCAACGGAUUACGCAUACUCUGUUACCAACCAGUCUUACCACGAGUUGAAAGACCUCCCGUCUUUGUUUCCUAACGGUAACGUUCUCGCUAGGAAUUUUUAGGUUCUCAGGAAGACAACCUACUUCGAUGAUCACGAAACCUAUACCUCAGACUCGCCCAUCAAGUUCUUCGUAAUUUAGCCUAGUACCAUCCCUAUUGAUGUGAGUAACAACGAGUAGCCGACUCAUGUCAGUCUUUACGUCUAACGUAUCGUCACCAAGUAGUUCCUUUCCAUCGACUUGCUCCACAGGUACUACUGGACUAUUUCCUAGGACUACCUCGAAUAAGAGUAGAAUAAGCCGAUGUUGUCCGGUUAUGACUUCUUUGUGGACUCUACGGUAUACACCGUCCAAGUUCUAAGUUUUCAUGUUCAAAUAGAAACCUUGUCAGAUAGUUCCUAAGAGGGUCCUUAUCUUCUGUUGUGAGGUCAUUUAGGCAACCUGACAGAUCUAGCCUACUAAACAAGUCCGUACAACGAUCGUCUCUCCUUGUGGACCUUUAACCACUAUCACUCCGAGGUUUCUUUCGUGGUUAACCUGCGGAAAAAUUAGAAUCGUCCGGUCUUCGUGGUUAAGAGGACAAUCGAUAGUAUCGACGGUGACACGUACCUGAAGAAAAGGGUAGUAAGUCAUAAUACUACAGACCACCAUAUUCUUGUAAGAUGAUAGGUCGUGUGGUUGAAGCUUUUCUAAGUUGUAAAACCCGUAACUACACGGAAGACUACCGUUAGUAAAGGGACCAAAGUUAGGUUAACCUUAAAAUGAAUAAACCUCAUCGGCCACCCUUUGAAUAUCUUGCACAGGCACGAAACAGAAAGGUUUCGUAGUAAGUAGUUCUCCAACGAACCAAACUACUAGGAAGCUUAAGGUCACCGCGUGAACCACGUUCCAACAAAUAACUACGAAACUUGUAGGCUGCGGAACAUCCUCUAUUGAACCGGCACGAUCACGUCACAUGUCAUUGUGAAUAAACACCGAAACCGUAUCGUAAACGAAGCCUGACCUUCGAAUGUGACUCAUAGUAUCCACAGUAAGGAAAAGACCCAAACGUCUUAAUAUAGGUUAACUCCAAAGACUUUCCCAAGCCACUUCUACGAUUCCACUACAUACUUCUACGUUCAGUUCAACACCGACUUCGUUAACCAUCAUAAGCUUGACAUCGUAGAAAACCACGUCUCUUCUCUCACUAAUGGUAUAUGUCGGUUUUUACGGUCCGAAGUUACUUUGUCCCUUAAUCUUCACCUUACCAGCCUCCACAACCAAAGUCAAAGAGUUUAAAUUACAACAUAGAGUGUAUACGAGAAACAAAGAUACAACCACGUGUCAAACAUGUACUGCCGUUUAGUUGGAAAGUUUUACAAAAGUCUCAAAUGAAACGGAACCAAAAGUGGCGAAAACCUUAAAGGGUUUGUUCACUGUACCGUAGUCUGAGUUGUUUUCCAGCUCUUAGACGCUGUAGGUAUGAUCGUAAGUAUCUGUCCUUCGGGUUUUAACUGAGCUGGUCACUACUUCCAUAUUUCGAUCUUUUUCAACUACCGUGGUAUCUCAAGUUGGUACAUUCCAAGUUCAUGGGUAGGGCUGGUCUACAGGUUUAUAAGUCGCUGAAGUGAAACCCAUAACGAAGGCCUUUCUGAUGACGUGAACAGCCUCUCUCACCUUCACCGUUCAGGUGUCAUUAACGAAACGACCUCGCUAAGAUACUAGGCCUGAGACCGUGUUAGAGUGAUCUGCCUUGUCUUGAGUCUUUCAAUUGUGACUCAACCAAUUCUCUGGUUUACCCUGAUCAUUCGGUUCUUGGUCAUGAAAAGUUACUGUGUUAAGCACGGUUGUAUCGUAUACCUUUCGCUCCUCUUCGUUGACUUCUUCUCUAUUAGUGGCACCGGUUCCGUCGGUUGCGAGUACUCAAGUAUAGCUCGAACGGUGUCCCUAUGUUGUGAUUGCAACCACUCUCUCCUUGUGUUGAUAGACCACCCGUUUUCGUUGCCCAUCGAUAACGGUCCCGCUAGAACUUCCUGGGAUCUUAUGAAGACGAGCUGCUUCGUUGUUCGCGGGACCUACGACUUAGUCUCGUAUAACAAGUUCUAUGUGACCUGGUUCACUACCAGUCGUCCUGGUGGUAACAGCAUCGUGUGACGGACAGCUGCUAGUUUCCUCGUCUAUACUAGCGUCAAUAGUUUCUACCAAGUCAACGGCUCUUCCCCUUCGUACUUAGAGAGUACCCGUAGUUCCCACCUCAGAUGCGUAGUGACCAGCUUGAUGUGAGCUUCCGCCGUAUUCUCCUACACGCCUAUAAAUAACAAGGAAAGAACAAAAGGCUUGAUGCUCUACUUUUUACGUACACAGUCAAACAUAAUGUUAAGCACGUUACAUUUAACGUGUAUUUAAAGUUCCCGUAAGCGGAUUUAAGAUCAAAAUAAAAUCCGGAUACUGUAGUCUCCGCUCUAACGGGGUCGUACACAAAGUCUGAAAGUCAACAAUUCCCCAUGGUCUCUAGCUAC